rnacentral:rRNA from 1 species
CCCUAGUAGCGGCGAGCGAAGCGGGAAGAGCUCAAAUUUAUAAUCUGGCACCUUCGGUGUCCGAGUUGUAAUCUCUAGAAGUGUUUUCCGCGUUGGACCGCACACAAGUCUGUUGGAAUACAGCGGCAUAGUGGUGAAACCCCCGUAUAUGGUGCGGACGCCCAGCGCUUUGUGAUACACUUUCAAUGAGUCGAGUUGUUUGGGAAUGCAGCUCAAAUUGGGUGGUAAAUUCCAUCUAAAGCUAAAUAUUGGCGAGAGACCGAUAGCGAACAAGUACCGUGAGGGAAAGAUGAAAAGCACUUUGGAAAGAGAGUUAACAGUACGUGAAAUUGUUGGAAGGGAAACGCUUGAAGUCAGACUUGCUUGCCGGAGCUUGCUUCGGUUUGCAGGCCAGCAUCAGUUUUCCGGGGUGGAUAAUGACGGUUUGAAGGUAGCAGUCUCGGCUGUGUUAUAGCUUUCCGUUGGAUACAUCCUGGGGGACUGAGGAACGCAGCGUGCUUUUUGCGAAAGACUCGUCUUUCACGUCUAGGAUGCUG